GAUGAACGCUGGCGGCGUGCUUAAUACAUGCAAGUCAACUGAACUUAAGAUAGCAAUAUUUUAAGGGAGGUGGCGCACGGGUGAGUAACACGUAGGUAAUCUGCCUUUAGGUCUGACAUAAUUCCGCGAAAGCGGAACUAACUUCAGAUGAUGCAGCGGCUCGACAUCGAGACAGUUGUUAAAUCUUCGGAGCCUAAAGAUGAGCCUGCGUCUGAUUAGGUAGUUGGCGGAGUAAAAGCCCACCAAGCCUGCGAUCAGUAGCUGGUCUGAGAGGAUGAUCAGCCACACUGGAACUGAGACACGGUCCAGACUCCUACGGGAGGCAGCAGUAAGGAAUAUUGGACAAUGGAGGCAACUCUGAUCCAGCCAUGCCGCGUGAAGGAUUAAGGCCCUAUGGGUUGUAAACUUCUUUUAGACGGGACAAAACCCCUUUACGUGUAAAGGGUUGAUGGUACUGUCAGAAUAAGCAUCGGCUAACUUCGUG
rnacentral:rRNA from 1 species